GUGGGUGUAGCUCAGUCCGGUUAGAGCGCCAGGUUGUGGCCCUGGAGGCCGGGGGUUCAAGUCCCCUCACUCACCCCA
rnacentral:tRNA from 1 species